CCCUACUGUAUACACAGGGCGUGUGGAGCUAGGGAACUAAGAUGUCCUGUUCUGAAGGAGCACAAAUGCAGACGUGAGAAAAAUGGUUUAAAACUGGAUUUCUCUUUAAGGAGGUUAAAUAGAGAGCAGGUAUGAAAGCACAGCAUAGCUGGAGAAAUCAAAGGAUAUGUUAAAGGAACAGCUCAUGCUGGUGGGUGGGUGCAUUUAAAGGGAACGAGCUGAAACCGAGUCUGGCCAGAGGUUCCCUCUUCCUGCUCUGGAGCCUCAUGGCAAUCCACACUCCUCAUACGUCACUCAACAAACCUUGCACCAGGAUGACAGCUAUUUGCACACUUGCUUUACCACCCCUCAUAGAUGACAGCACCAGAGAUGUCCAGGACAGACCUUGGAGCUCUGCUUCUCCUGCUUUGGAGACCUGUUGCUGAUGCUGCCAUCAGCGCCAGCCCCAGCCCAUUUGAAGAGAUUGUUGACAGCAUGAAGCCAUACAAACAACUGUGUCUUCAUAGCAGUGCUCAUCGCAUUCAUUCAAUAAACAUUAGAUGAAUUGAAUUUGUAAACAACUUAUGUUGGUUCUAAUGAGCAUGCAAGAUUGUAUUUGGCAUUCACUGCCACAGACUUUACAAAAACACGAGGGAAGUUGCUCUAGUGAAUGAAAAAAUUACACAGUGAUCGAUUUUGCCAUACAGUCCUUAUUAAGAAUUUAAGAAAAUAACAUCCCUUCUCACUUUGAGAAACAAUAGAUAUUUCUUUUAUUUACUUAUUCUAAUCAAUCCAUGUUUGUCUUUUCAUACAACUUAAAAUUGAGGCAGAAGAGAAAAAUGAAUAGUGGAUAGAAUUGUGACAGAUUCUCUUUCUGGGAAGUUUAAAAACAAAACAGUGACAUCAGCAUCAUGGCAGAGAGGGUUGUUCUUUCCAUGUCUCCCCUCUAAGUAACAACUAAACAGACAUUCAUUAACCAAAACAGGAUUCCCUACACAGUACAACAGGAUGUCUGAGAGAUCCAUGCAGCCAUAUAUCUGAAGGUGAGUGGACUGUAUCCCCAGAAAGCAGUAGAACUAGGUGAGCAGACCCCAUCCUCUCCCCAGCAGCAGCAAUCCAGUUCACAAAUCCUCACACAGUGGCUGGCACGACUGUAAGAGGAGGUGGGGCAGCCCAGCCCAUGUGCAAAUGCUUUCAGAGUGGUAGCCUGGCCCAUGGGAAUGCUCACUAUGCUGUAACAGCUGGUUCACAGGAAUGCUUCCCACUGAGUGAUGGGGGCUCAGCAGCUGUGAAGAAGCCCUGCCCACCAAGUGUAGCAGCUCAGCCAAAUUGCCCAGAGUACAGAGCUGGCCCACAUGAAAGAAAGUGCCCCUCACUUCCUACCUAGUGAAACAGCUCAGCUAAUCUCCUACUGAGCACAGCAGUCCCACCUGCAUGAGAGCAACUCACUGGCAGAGCACAGAGGGCCUGCCUGAACCCAUGAAGUGGCUGCAUCCAGCACAUGCAAAUACAGAGCAACCCUACUGGCACAACUUCCAGCAUUUGGGGCAGGAUUAGAAAACACAGCUCCUAACCCCCCUGCCCCGAGUGGUGGCAGGUGGAAUCUGUGACUUGAUACUAACACAGAUGCACCAGAAAAGGAUCAAUUCAUCAAAAUCCAUGAAGAACUACUUCAGAGCAGAAUGAAAAUGACGUCUCCAGAAACCAAUCCUGAAGUCACAGAAAUG